AAUGAACGCUGGCGGCGCGCCUAAUACAUGCAAGUCGAGCGAGAAGACGUAGCAAUACGUUUGUAAAGCGGCGAACGGGUGAGGAAUACAUGGGUAACCUACCCUCGAGUGGGGAAUAACUAGUCCGAAAGGUUAGCUAAUACCGCGUACGCUUCUUGGACUUCGGUUCAGGGAGGAAAGCGAUGCCGGAGGGUAUCGCGCUCUUGGAUGGGCUCAUGUCCUAUCAGCUUGUUGGNGAGGUAACGGCUCACCAAGGCUUCGACGGGUAGCUGGUCUGAGAGGACGAUCAGCCACACUGGCACUGCGACACGGGCCAGACUCCUACGGGAGGCAGCAGUAAGGAAUAUUGCGCAAGUGGGCGAAAGCCUGACGCAGCGACGCCGCGUGGGGGAGUGAA
rnacentral:rRNA from 1 species